UGGGUCGGCUGGACGGUCGCGUUGCGCAUGUCGCACCGAGGAACGUCCGGGCUCCACAGGGCAGGGCGGUGGGUAACACCCACCCGGAGUGAUCCGCGAGAAAGUGCCACAGAGAGCAGACCGCCGGGUGAUGCCCGGUAAGGGUGAAAGGGCGGUGUAAGAGACCACCGGGGUCGUGGUGACACGACCCGCACGGCAAACCUCGCCCGGAGCAAGGCCAGACAGGGGAU
rnacentral:RNase_P_RNA from 1 species